GACGAACGCUGGCGGCGUGCUUAACACAUGCAAGUCGAACGGAAAGGCCCUGCUUUUGUGGGGUGCUCGAGUGGCGAACGGGUGAGUAACACGUGAGUAACCUGCCCUUGACUUUGGGAUAACUUCAGGAAACUGGGGCUAAUACCGGAUAGGAGCUCCUGCUGCAUGGUGGGGGUUGGAAAGUUUCGGCGGUUGGGGAUGGACUCGCGGCUUAUCAGCUUGUUGGUGGGGUAGUGGCUUACCAAGGCUUUGACGGGUAGCCGGCCUGAGAGGGUGACCGGCCACAUUGGGACUGAGAUACGGCCCAGACUCCUACGGGAGGCAGCAGUGGGGAAUAUUGCACAAUGGGCGGAAGCCUGAUGCAGCAACGCCGCGUGCGGGAUGACGGCCUUGGGGUUGUAAACCGCUUUCGCCUGUGACGAAGCGUGAGUGACGGUAAUGGGUAAAGAAGCACCGGCUAACUACGU
rnacentral:rRNA from 1 species